GGGAAUAUAGCUCAGUUGGUAAGAGUGCUUACUUUGCAUGCAAAAGACCCUGGGUUCAAUCCCCUGUACCACCA
rnacentral:tRNA from 1 species